AAAUCCACUAAAAAGUCCACCGUCCUAUCAACAAAAGGAAAGGAUAAAACGCCCUGAGAAGAGUGAUCAAGAAACUCAACUGGAGGAGGCAUUCCAGGGAUCCGGCUAUCUUUCCAAAAGAGAAGAAAAGAACCCUCUCGAGCUAGCCACCUAACAUUCGUCCGAACAAGAGGCUAAACAGCCCCAAUAGCUCUCCAAAUCGGUAAACCCGGACCAGCAAAAAGGGUGGAAGGAAGACCAACUGUCCCAUUUAAAUAUUUAGAGCGCAAAACUUCCAUCCAUAGAGAAGAAGAACCACAAAACAACUUAAAAGCUAGCCUCAUCAUAAAAACCUUAUUAACCAACUUCAAUCUGUGAAAACCUAACCCGCCAUCAGAUUUCGUAGAACAAACAGCAUCCCAAUUUACCAUCGAAACCCUAGUGCGAGCAGUAGAG
rnacentral:misc_RNA from 1 species